rnacentral:rRNA from 1 species
AGCAUAUCAAUAAGCGGAGGAAAAGAAACCAACAGGGAUUGCCCUAGUAACGGCGAGUGAAGCGGCAACAGCUCAAAUUUGAAAUCUGGCUCUAGGGCCCGAGUUGUAAUUUGUAGAGGAUACUUUUGGUGAGGUGCCUUCCGAGUUCCCUGGAACGGGACGCCAUAGAGGGUGAGAGCCCCGUCUGGUUGGAUACCGAGCCUCUGUAAAGUUCCUUCGACGAGUCGAGUAGUUUGGGAAUGCUGCUCUAAAUGGGAGGUAUAUGUCUUCUAAAGCUAAAUAUUGGCCAGAGACCGAUAGCGCACAAGUAGAGUGAUCGAAAGAUGAAAAGCACUUUGAAAAGAGAGUUAAAAAGCACGUGAAAUUGUUGAAAGGGAAGCGCUUGUGACCAGACUUGGGCUUGGUUAAUCAUCCGGCGUUCUCGCCGGUGCACUUUUCCAGCUCAGGCCAGCAUCAGUUUGCUUCGGGGGAUAAAAGUUUCGGGAAUGUGGCUCCUUCGGGAGUGUUAUAGCCCGUUGCAUAAUACCCUGGAGCGGACUGAGGUUCGCGCAUCUGCAAGGAUGCUGGCAUAAUGGUCAUCAGCGACCCGUCUUGAAACACGGACCAAGGAGUCGUCUUCGUAUGCGAGUGUUCGGGUGUCAAACCCCUACGCGUAAUGAAAGUGAACGCAGGUGAGAGCUUCGGCGCAUCAUCGACCGAUCCUGAUGUUCUCGGAUGGAUUUGAGUAAGAGCAUACGGGGCCGGACCCGAAAGAAGGUGAACUAUGCCUGUAUAGGGUGAAGCCAGAGGAAACUCUGGUGGAGGCUCGCAGCGGUUCUGACGUGCAAAUCGAUCGUCAAAUAUGGGCAUGGGGGGCGAAAGACUAAUCGAACCUUCUAGUAGCUGGUUUCCGCCGAA